CCACUUGUCAGCCAUCUAACAAAUCUGCAGAGAGUUGUUUCAGUGCACCUCUUCCUGAUUCUACCACAUGAGCAGGAUCCAUGUGAAAGCCAAGCUCACCAAUUACAUUUUGACACCUGGCACAUGCAUUUGGUGGACAGCCUCUUUAGAAUUUAUGAAAUCUCAAUUUUUUAGGUGCCUAUCAUUACUCCGUACAGCG
rnacentral:lncRNA from 1 species